rfam:Opisthocomus hoazin contig88738, whole genome shotgun sequence.
GCUGUGAUGACUUUCUUUGGUGUUGAUCAUCUGAAGUGAUUGUGCUUUCAUGUCCUCUAAGAAGUUCUGAGCUU